AGUGAACGCUGGCGGUAGGCCUAACACAUGCAAGUCGAACGGCAGCACAGUAAGAGCUUGCUCUUACGGGUGGCGAGUGGCGGACGGGUGAGGAAUACAUCGGAAUCUACUUUUUCGUGGGGGAUAACGUAGGGAAACUUACGCUAAUACCGCAUACGACCUACGGGUGAAAGCAGGGGAUCUUCGGACCUUGCGCGAUUGGAUGAGCCGUUGUCGGGUUAGCUAGUUGGCGGGGUAAAGGCCCACCAAGGCGACGAUCCGUAGCUGGUCUGAGAGGAUGAUCAGCCACACUGGAACUGAGACACGGUCCAGACUCCUACGGGAGGCAGCAGUGGGGAAUAUUGGACAAUGGGCGCAAGCCUGAUCCAGCCAUACCGCGUGGGUGAAGAAGGCCUUCGGGUUGUAAAGCCCUUUUGUUGGGAAAGAAAAGCAGCGGGUUAAUACCCCGCUGUUCUGACGGUACCCAAAGAAUAAGCACCGGCUAACUUCGUG
rnacentral:rRNA from 1 species